ACUUACCUAAUACAAGAGAGUAUAAUUGACUUCCAAUCAAGAAAUUUGUAAAAACAAGAUAAGUA
rnacentral:tRNA from 1 species